rnacentral:rRNA from 1 species
GUCCUUUUGAAUAUAAUUUAAGGUCUAACCUGCCCACUGAUUUUUUAAAUGGCCGCAGUAUUUUGACUGUGCAAAGGUAGCAUAAUAAUUAGUUUUUUAAUUGAAAGCUGGAAUGAAUGGUUGGAUAAGAAAAUUACUGUCUCAAUUUAAUUUUAUUAGAAUUUUAUUUUUAAGUUAAAAAGCUUAAAUUUUAUUAAAAGACGAGAAGACCCUAUAGAGUUUAAUAUUAUACAAUAAAUUUUUUAUUAGAAUUUAAUAAUUUUUUAUUUUAAUAGUAUUUUGUUGGGGUGACAGAAAAAUUUAAUAAACUUUUUCUUUAUAAAUACAUAAAUUUAUGAUUUUUUGAUCCAUUUUAAUGAUUAUAAGAAAAAAUUACCUUAGGGAUAACAGCGUAAUUUUUUUUGAGAGUUCUAAUCGAAAAAAAAGAUUGCGA